CUUUUCUCUUGAUGGAAAAAAUACUUUUACCCAUAAUAUGGGAAAUAUUACUCGUGUUUAUAUAACAAGAGAUGUCAUAAUUAUGUAGAAGUUAAAGCAACUUCAAAAAAAAGUUUUCAAAGAUACGACUUUUUCACUUCUAUAAAAACUGCAGUAAGACAGAAAUUCGAAAAGAAUCAAGAAAGUAUUUUCGAUAAUAAAUUCCCUCAAGCAUUGUCUGCAGUAUUGAAUAAUGCUAAUAUAUUAAUAAAGAUUGGGAUGGGUACAAGGUAUUCAGGAUCAAAAAACUACCAUCUAAUGAAGAUAAAUAAAAACAACUAAUCGCUUUUAAUUUAUUUACUUUUUUAAAA